ACAGCCAUCAAAGAUCGAUCGUGAAUUUCAUCGUGUCUCACUGUUGUUUUAACCUGAUUACAUCGCAAGUGUUAUGGGACAUAUAGGUCAUAGCCUACAGUGGCCUGCAAGGCCUUUCAGCAUCUUCUAUUGAGCGUCCACUGCCUUGGGUUUAUAUGAAAGAAAAAGCGAAACAUAAAUAUUUGUCCUACAUAACCCGCGCCAAACGAUUCUUAUAUAGUGAUCAGCAGACUAUAGAUAUUCGAUAAGGCAUGUAUUGAAACAAGCAAUAUGUGUAUGGUGGGGGGGUAAUUGAAGGACAUCUCGGCAUGGCGAUAAGCCGGAUUGUUUCGUUGCGCAUGAAAACAAAUAGCAGGUAAGUGACGACCUCGUCGCAAAAACAGUGGUAACGUUGUAGAAGACGAAAGAUAAAUAACAUCUCCAUUGAACAUGAACAGAAAACAGAAUUCUAAACUGGUCUUUUUCAUUAUCAGUCACACCAAAUAGAACACAAAUCACAGGCAUGUUUUUUUCGGGUUUUUCUUUUCUUAGGAAGUACUUUUUAUUCUCUCUCUCUGGCGUCGAUGUUAUAACCUAAACGGGGAGGCUCAGAUCAUAACAAAAUAUAAAGUAAAUUAAUAAAUUGUUUUGGGUUUGGUUCUUGGGAAAGGCCUCCAACCAAAAAAAAAAGGAUAAAACAUAA